GGGGGGGGGGGGGGGGCAACCACACAGAAGCGCCUGAGCCGAAGGACCAUUCUUUCCGAAAGCCAGUCAUUGUUACCCUGCUCUUGAUUAACGGGGCAUAGAUGUACUUCUAUACAUCCCUAUGGAAGACAGAGAUACAAAGGUGGUCCCGGUGGUCCCAAGAACCUUCCCUCCUCUUGACUCCUCUCGGAAACUUAUAGGUAAUUGGCAUCUGCACUGAAUUUAGUGGGGUUUUGCUUCCGAGAACAUAGGCACAGUAGGACCACCACAACUGUAUUUUCCCGAAGUCAGUCUGACUAAGCCCCAUCUACACAGACCAUUUUAUGCAGUUCGGGGCUAUCAAACUGCCACCAAACACCCACAAAAGUGCACGAAAGGAAGCUCUUAAUGUGCAGCAGUGCUUUGUGGUUUGUGUAAAAUCUGUUGGGGAAUCUGAGCUGUUAGACUCAAAAAUAACCCUCAGUUGGAGUGAUUCCACCAUAAAUAUAGCAGAAUACAGAAGUAAACUCUAUAACCAGCAGAAACUUAGGUGUGGUGAGCUGGGAUAAGCUUCCUUUCUUUAGGAUGCCUUCGGAUUUCAGAGUCAAAACUUCAGGUUCAAAAAUAUUUAUUGGGGUAAAAGAAAUACAUUCUUGAUAGAAAAGGUCUUGGAGUUAUCCAUCCAGCUUGCUAAAUCUCGUCUUCUAAUGAGGUAAAGGGGGGGGGGGGGAGAGAACCCAACAAAAUCACCAUCCAGAUCUCAAACUGGUUUAAGGAUUUCCUAAUCAUCUGCACAGUUAAACCACUUUCUUCAAUAUCGGUUUGAAACUGCAUUAAAUGACCAGUGUAUUCGGGACACAAAUAUGACCCGGAUUCCAUAUUAACCCUCUAUAUUCAAGUAGUAUAUUUUAAAGUGGCAAUUUUUUAAAAUGACCUUGAAAUAGGGAUUAAUUUUUAACCUCGUAUUUACAUGGGGUUUUGUUUUAUAGCUGAUGCCGAUUUAGGUGCCUUCCACACACAUAUAACCCAGAAUAUAAGGCAGAAAAUCCCACAAUAUUUGCUUUGAACUGGGUUAUCUGAAUCCACACUGCCAUAUAUUCCAGUUCAAAGCAGAUAAUAUAGGAUUUUAUUCAGCUGUGUGGAAGGGACCUCAGUCAGGCGAAAGUCACAAUGCAACUAUUGCACCUGAUGCCCCAAUAGUCACCCGCACAAAAGACAGCACGAAAUGGGGCCCCUGAUACAGACUAAAGGGAGUUCAGUGGGACUUGCUUCCUCAAGGUUUGAAUUAGGGAGCAAGCCUCACCGAACUGGGUGAGGCUAAAUAACGAAUUCAGCCGGACUGGCUUCCAGAGAAACAUGCAAAGUGUCCAAGGCACGGAAACCCAACGCCCGAAUCCGCUGGACUGCCGUCCCAUUUAUUUAUGGGAGGCAAUCAGCUAUAUAGGUCCCAGCCAACGCCGCCGCUUUUUGACACAUCCAUGCAAAUACAGUAUGACAAACUCCCUGUUUUUUGGCCGGGGGGUGGGGUCGAAUAAUUCAGAGAAGGCAGCAGAGGCAGAGCGGAAUAAAACGGCAAAAUAGAGGAGGAGAAAGAGGGGAAACGUCUGUUUCCAGAGAGAGUCGCCCCGAAACAAUAGGCAGUGACACCAUUUCCACUGAAUGUGUUUCCAACAGGGCUGCGUGGAUAUAAACAGCGGGAUCAGCCAGGGCAAAGGCACAGUUUUGCCAUACAGUUCAGUGGGAAGGGGGGAAAUGAACCGAAAAAAGUAACUUUCCCUUUACCAGGCUCGGUCACAAAAUGUGUUUUUUCUUUCUUUUCAGAGGCGACAGGCUUAAUCCCCACCAAACCAAACCAGUUCCCCAAAUACAGACUGGCAUCGAAGGAAAAUAAAAGCCCAGAGACCCCAACAUAUGAGAUACAA